rnacentral:rRNA from 1 species
CAUCUCCGGGGGUAGAGCACUGUUUCGGCUAGGGGGCCAUCCCGGCUUACCAACCCGAUGCAAACUGCGAAUACCGGAGAAUGUUAUCACGGGAGACACACGGCGGGUGCUAACGUCCGUCGUGAAGAGGGAAACAACCCAGACCGCCAGCUAAGGUCCCAAAGUCAUGGUUAAGUGGGAAACGAUGUGGGAAGGCCCAGACAGCCAGGAUGUUGGCUUAGAAGCAGCCAUCAUUUAAAGAAAGCGUAAUAGCUCACUGGUCGAGUCGGCCUGCGCGGAAGAUGUAACGGGGCUAAACCAUGCACCGAAGCUGCGGCAGCGACACUGUGUGUUGUUGGGUAGGGGAGCGUUCUGUAAGCCUGUGAAGGUGUGUCGUGAGGCAUGCUGGAGGUAUCAGAAGUGCGAAUGCUGACAUAAGUAACGAUAAAGCGGGUGAAAAGCCCGCUCGCCGGAAGACCAAGGGUUCCUGUCCAACGUUAAUCGGGGCAGGGUGAGUCGACCCCUAAGGCGAGGCCGAAAGGCGUAGUCGAUGGGAAACGGGUUAAUAUUCCCGUACUUGGUGUUACUGCGAAGGGGGGACGGAGAAGGCUAUGUUGGCCGGGCGACGGUUGUCCCGGUUUAAGCGUGUAGGUGUGUGUUCCAGGUAAAUCCGGUUCACUUUAACACUGAGGCGUGACGACGAGGCACUACGGUGCUGAAGCAACAAAUGCCCUGCUUCCAGGAAAAGCCUCUAAGCAUCAGGUAACAUCAAAUCGUACCCCAAACCGACACAGGUGGUCAGGUAGAGAAUACCAAGGCGCUUGAGAGAACUCGGGUGAAGGAACUAGGCAAAAUGGUGCCGUAACUUCGGGAGAAGGCACGCUGACACGUAGGUGAAGUGAUUUACUCAUGGAGCUGAAGUCAGUCGAAGAUACCAGCUGGCUGCAACUGUUUAUUAAAAACACAGCACUGUGCAAACACGAAAGUGGACGUAUACGGUGUGACGCCUGCCCGGUGCCGGAAGGUUAAUUGAUGGGGUCAGCGCAAGCGAAGCUCCUGAUCGAAGCCCCGGUAAACGGCGGCCGUAACUAUAACGGUCCUAAGGUAGCGAAAUUCCUUGUCGGGUAAGUUCCGACCUGCACGAAUGGCGUAAUGAUGGCCAGGCUGUCUCCACCCGAGACUCAGUGAAAUUGAACUCGCUGUGAAGAUGCAGUGUACCCGCGGCAAGACGGAAAGACCCCGUGAACCUUUACUAUAGCUUGACACUGAACAUUGAGCCUUGAUGUGUAGGAUAGGUGGGAGGCUUUGAAGUGUGGACGCCAGUCUGCAUGGAGCCGACCUUGAAAUACCACCCUUUAAUGUUUGAUGUUCUAACGUGGACCCGUUACCCGGGUUGCGGACAGUGUCUGGUGGGUAGUUUGACUGGGGCGGUCUCCUCCUAAAGAGUAACGGAGGAGCACGAAGGUUGGCUAAUCCUGGUCGGACAUCAGGAGGUUAGUGCAAUGGCAUAAGCCAGCUUGACUGCGAGCGUGACGGCGCGAGCAGGUGCGAAAGCAGGUCAUAGUGAUCCGGUGGUUCUGAAUGGAAGGGCCAUCGCUCAACGGAUAAAAGGUACUCCGGGGAUAACAGGCUGAUACCGCCCAAGAGUUCAUAUCGACGGCGGUGUUUGGCACCUCGAUGUCGGCUCAUCACAUCCUGGGGCUGAAGUAGGUCCCAAGGGUAUGGCUGUUCGCCAUUUAAAGUGGUACGCGAGCUGGGUUUAGAACGUCGUGAGACAGUUCGGUCCCUAUCUGCCGUGGGCGCUGGAGAACUGAGGGGGGCUGCUCCUAGUACGAGAGGACCGGAGUGGACGCAUCACUGGUGUUCGGGUUGUCAUGCCAAUGGCACUGCCCGGUAGCUAAAUGCGGAAGAGAUAAGUGCUGAAAGCAUCUAAGCACGAAACUUGCCCCGA